rnacentral:rRNA from 1 species
UACGUAGGGUGCGAGCGUUGUCCGGAAUUAUUGGGCGUAAAGAGCUCGUAGGCGGUCUGUCGCGUCGAUCGUGAAAACUUGGGGCUUAACCCUGAGCUUGCGGUCGAUACGGGCAUGACUGGAGUUCGGCAGGGGAGACUGGAAUUCCUGGUGUAGCGGUGAAAUGCGCAGAUAUCGGGAGGAACACCGGUGGCGAAAGCGGCGCACUGGACCACAACUGACGCUGAGGCGCGAAAGCUAGGGGAGCAAACAGG